UACCAAUGUUUUCCAGGAUGGUAAUGGUUAUAUUAGUGCUGCAGAACUUCGUCAUGUGAUGACAAAUCUUGGAGAAAAAUUAACGGAUGAAGAAGUUGAUGAGAUGAUUAGAGAAGCAGAUAUUGAUGGUGACGGUCAAGUAAACUAUGAAGAGUUUGUACAAAUGAUGACAGCAAAGUGAAGACACUGUACAGAAUGUGUUAAAUUUCUUGUACAAAUUGUUUAUUUGCCUUUUUCUCUGUUUGUAACUUAUCUGUAAAAGGUUUUCCCCAACUGUCAAGAGAAUAUGCAUGUAUAGUAACAAACUCAUUCCUCCAUGUUUUCCCCUUUUAUCUGUCAUCCUGAUAUUUUGGGAAAAUGAUCAAAGUAACAAAUGUUUGCAUGUGGCUUACUCUGGAUAUUUAAGCCCUUCUACACUUCUUAAACUAGAUGGUGUUGGUCAAACGAGGGGACAUCUAGGUUAUGCCUGUUUAAAUUAGUUAUUUUAGGAAACUUAGCAUGUUGUUGAAAUGUAGUCUUAACUCUGUGUGGACUAUGUACAGUCAACAAUAUGGAACUUAAAAAGUUUGCACUAUUGCAAAACGGGUGUAUUAUCCAGGUACUCGUACACUAUUUUUUGUACUCCUGGUCCUGUACCAGAAGACAUUUUCUUCUAUGGUUACUAUGCUUUUAAAACCUUUUGUUCAGCCACUUAUUUUCAAAAGAAUCCGCUUAUGGCACAACUUGCCUCAAAUCCAUUCCAAGUUGUAUAUUUGUUUUCCAAUAAAAAAUUACAAUUAACUCA